rnacentral:rRNA from 1 species
UACGUAGGGACCGAGCGUUGUCCGGAAUCAUUGGGCGUAAAGAGCGUGUAGGCGGCCAAUUAAGUCCUGCGUGAAAUCUCGGGGCUCAACCCCGAGCGGUCGUGGGAAACUUGGUUGGCUAGAGUGCGGGAGAGGAGAGUGGAAUUCCUGGUGUAGCGGUGAAAUGCGCAGAUAUCAGGAAGAACACCUAUGGCGAAGCAGCUCUCUGGGACGGUACUGACGCUGAGACGCGAAAGCGUGGGAGCGAACA